rnacentral:rRNA from 1 species
CGCACAACUUAGAUUAUUUAAGUUUAGAAUAUGAGAAACUAAGUUAUAUGUUUAGUUAUAUUUUUACUGAUUUUUAUAGAGUAAAGAUAGAAAUAAAACUUAGUAAAAUCAGUAAAAAUAUUCUUAGACUAAAGUUAAGUAGUUUAAGUUGUGUGCAAGUGGUAGGAGAGCGUUCUAUUUGCGUCGAAGGUAUACCGGUAAGGAGUGCUGGAGCGAAUAGAAGUGAGUAUGCAGGCAUGAGUAGCGAUAAUUAAUGUGAGAAUCAUUAACGCCGUAAACCCAAGGUUUCCUACGCGAUGCUCGUCAUCGUAGGGUUAGUCGGGUCCUAAGUCGAGUCCGAAAGGGGUAGACGAUGGCAAAUUGGUUAAUAUUCCAAUACCAACAUUAGUGUGCGAUGGAAGGACGCUUAGGGCUAAGGGGGCUAGCGGAUGGAAGUGCUAGUCUAAGGUCGUAGGAGGUUAUACAGGCAAAUCCGUAUAACAAUACUCCGAGAACUGAAAGGCUUUUUGAAGUCUUCGGAUGGAUAGAAGAACCCCUGAUGCCGUCGAGCCAAGAAAAGUUUCUAAGUUUAGCUAAUGUUGCCCGUACCGUAAACCGACACAGGUGGGUGGGAUGAGUAUUCUAAGGCGCGUGGAAGAACUCUCUUUAAGGAACUCUGCAAAAUAGCACCGUAUCUUCGGUAUAAGGUGUGGUUCGCUUCGUAUUAGGAUUUACUCCGAAAGCGA